rnacentral:lncRNA from 1 species
CUCAAAUCUCACACAUCGUCAGUUCUUUCUUAUAAGAUGGCAACUCCUAAAUUUGUAUCAUAUCUUCUUUUAAGUUCCAUGUUACAACAUCCACAAGAAAUCUGCCUCAGAUAUCUUCGCAGGAACCUCACACUCACUACAUGUAAAAUUAAAUUAAGCACUUUUUGUCUCCUUCUUCUUUUAAUUUGUUGCAUUACUUGCUGAUAUUACCUUAACCUAAGGCAUUUUUGCUUCCUUCUUCUAGAUUAUUCCCCACAUAGAACAUAUGUCCCCAACAUUUGGCACCAGGGACGAGUUUUAUGGAAGACAAUUUUUCCACAGACUGGGGGUGGGGUGAGGGUUGGGAGGGAAUGGUUUUGGGGUGAAACUGUUCCACCUCAGAUCAUCAGGUAUUACACUCUCACGAGGAACGUGCAACCUAGAUCUUUUGCAUGUACAGCUCAAGAUAGGGUGCGUGCUUCUAUGAGAAUCUAAUGUCACCUCUUAUCUGACAGAAAGUGGAACUCAGGCUGUAAUGGUCUCUUGCCUGCUGCUCACUUCCUGCUGUGUGGCUUCAUUCUAUGGCUCUGGUACUGGAGGUUGGGGAUCCUUGCCAUGGAAUAUACAUAAGAAUAAUGAUGACAGUAACGCCAAAGUUGAGCACAGAAGAUUGAAUGGAUCUCCUAACUAUACUGAUGAUAAGAAGAGAAAGAUAAACCAGAGAAGUCAUUCUUGCCUUUAGGGAUUCACCUGGUAAAUUGCUGCUUAAAGAGUGCUGUCAAUAAGUUAACUUCUUUACUGUCGGGAGCAAUUCUCUACUGGCGGUAAGAUGGACAAGAUGACCUAAUAGAUCUUUCUUCAUCUCAAGAUUCAAAGUUUCUUUUCAAGGAACCGUGACUGAAGAACAGAAACAGUGUUUAGGACCUGUCCACAAAAUUUUAACUUUAAAAUAAUUCACAUAUUAUUAUUUGCAUUUUUAGUGAACUGAUUUAAAUUCUCUAAAAAUAAUCUUUCCUUACUCACAUACUGCAUUGCUGUGUUUAUUUUUUAAAGAAUGAAAUAUUUAAGAGAUAUUGCACAAUUUAAUAUUGCAGGAUGGAGAUUUCUUCUUGUACUCUUUUUGUUUUCAGCACCCAUGUUACCUUAAAUGGAGGACUUUUCCUCUUCCAUUUCUGUAUCUUUUAGUCAGCAGACAGAUAUAGUGAAAUGGUUAAAAGCACGGACAUUAGAACCAGGUUGGGUUUUUGAAUCUGAAUCCUCAGCCUAUUACAUGUGUGAUCUUGGACAACUAUCAUCCACCUCUCUCUGACUCCGUAUUUUUAACUGUAAAACAGAGUUACAGAGAGAGCUCCUACCUUAUGUGGCUUCUUUCUUAGGUGGCUGUUAUGAGGAUUAAAUGAGUUAAUAGACGUAAAGCAUGUAGAAGACUCCCUGGCAUGUACUACGUGUUUGUAAG